GUCUAACCCAGAGCAAAAGCAAAGCCCCUCAAAAACCCUUUCCUCCUUCGCUGCCGCGCACGCCCCUCAUUUCCCGCGGCCACCGCCACCGCCACCGCGGCCACACCAUGGGCAAGCCGAAGCAACAAGUGCUCUCCCGCUUCUUCGCCCCCAAGCCCCCGCCCUCCCCCGCUCCCAACCCGCCACCUCCCCACAACCCCAAACCCUCCGCCGCGAAUCCGCCCGUCUCCACCGUCGUCUCCUUCUCCCCCACCAAGCGCGCGCGCGCCCUCUCCCUCUCCCCCAAAUCCCCCGCUAACAAAAGGCCCAACCCCUACCCUCCCGCCCGCGAUGCCGUUCGACGCAGGCUCCUCGAGCCGCUCCACCUGGCGCCGCGUGCCCCGAACCCUAGUGCCGCCGCCGGCAAGGGCUACACCCCGCUGGAGCAGCAGGUGGUCGACCUCAAGGCCUGCCACCCCGAUGUCCUCCUCAUGGUCGAGGUCGGCUACCGCUUCCGCUUCUUCGGCGAGGACGCCGCCGUCGCUGCCGCGGUGCUCGGCAUCGUCGCGCACCCUGACCGCAGCUUCCUCACCGCCAGUGUACCCACCUUCCGCCUCGGCUUCCACGUCCGUCGCCUCGUCGCCGCGGGACACAAGGUUGGGGUCGUCCGCCAGACCGAGUCCGCCGCAAUCAAGGCCGCGCAGAAAGGUGGGGGCGCGCCAUUCGCGCGCGGCCUCUCGGCGGUGUACACGCGCGCCACGAUCGAGGCCGCGGCCGGCGAGCUGGAAGGUGGUGCUGCGCCCGAGGAGGGGAGCAGGUACCUCGUGUGCGUGGUGGACAAGGAGGUGGAGGAGACGGGGAGGGAUGGGUUCGACGUGAAGGUUGGGGUGGUGGCGAUCGAGGUGUCCACCGGUGAGGUAGUGCACGGGGAAUUCAUGGACACCGCCUCCAGGAGUGGGCUUGAAGCUGUACUGCUUGGCUUGGCGCCCGUGGAGGUCAUCCUCGGGACGCCACUCUCGGUCACAACGGAGAAGAUGAUGAUGGCAUAUGCGGGACCUGCCUCUAAUGUGCGGGUUGAGCACACAUCACGUGUUUGUUUUGGCGAGGGUGGUGCUUUAGCUGAACUGAUAUCUUUAUUUGAGAAGUCUGUGGACAAUGCUUCAAGGGUUGAAGAUGAAAGACAUCUGAUGAAAAUAAAUGAUGAGGACAAUAAUCUUCGUGGGAUUGAGGGUAUCAUGGCUAUGCCAGAGUUAGUUGUUCUAGCAUUGGCACUGUCUGUUCGCUAUCUCAAAGGUUUCGGCAUGGAAAGGAUAAUAUGCUUUGGUUCAUCGUUCCGGCCAGUUUCUGCUGAUACUGAAAUGUCCCUAUCAGCAAAUGCUCUUCAACAACUUGAGGUGUUGAAGAACAACUCAGAUGGUACAAUAGAAGGGUCUCUGUUCCAAACUAUGAACAAUACAUGUACAGCUUUUGGAUCUAGAUUGUUUAGAAACUGGUUGGCUCACCCUUUAUGCGAUAGAAAUCUAAUAUGUGCUCGUCAAGAUGCGGUCUCUGAGAUUUCUGAAUCGAUGGGAUCAAGACAAAACUCAGUUAGCAAUCUGCAGGAUGGAAGGGACGGGUCCUGCACAGCUUUGGCCCGUAGUGAUUUGAGCACUAUCCUUUCAUCCGUUUUAACCAUGCUGGGAAGAUCACUUGAUAUUCAAAGAGGAAUUACAAGGGUUUUUCAUUGCAAAGCCACAUCUAAAGAGUUUGUUGGUGUUAUCCAGUCUAUCUUGACAGCUGGAAAGCAGCUGCAGAAGCUUGUUCCCGAGGAUACUGACAUUGUGUCCUCCCAGCAUAAACCUGUGCACUCCUCUUUGCUGAGAAGGCUAAUAAGUACAGCUUCAUCAUCCACCGUACUUAACAGUGCUGUGAAACUUCUGUCUUGUCUUAACAAAGAUGCGGCUUAUCAAGGGGAUAUGCUAAACCUAUUCAUUGCAUCUGUCGAUCACUUCCCUGAGGUUGCGGAGGGUCAUGUAGCUGUAGAAAUGGCCAAACAGAAACUUGAUUUAUUGAUUGUUGAGUAUCAGGAGCAGCUUGGUAUGCGUAACUUGGAGUUUAAAAGCAUAGCUGGAACGACCCAUUUGAUUGAACUACCAAUAGAUAGAAGGGCACCUUCAAAUUGGAUGAAAGUAAAUAGCACAAAAAAGACCAUCAGAUACCACACUCCUGAAGUCUUGAAAAACUUGGACAGUUUGUUGCUGGCUAAGGAAGAACUAGCAGUUAUCUGCAGGACGGCGUGGCAUAAAUUCCUGAUGGAUUUUGGAAAUUACUAUGCCCAGUUUCAAGGAACUGUUGAAUCUCUUGCAACUCUCGACUGCUUAUACUCUCUCGCUACUCUUGCAAAGCAGAAUAAUUAUGUACGACCUAUCUUUGUCCAUGAGAGUGAACCAAGUCAGAUUCACAUCAAAGAUGGGCGCCAUCCGGUUCUGGAAUCUCUGCUUGGAGACAAUUUUGUUCCAAAUGAUACAGAGCUUCAUGCAGAUGUUGAGUACUGCCAGAUUGUUACAGGACCAAACAUGGGAGGAAAGAGUUGCUAUAUUCGCCAAGUUGCACUAAUUACCAUGAUGGCCCAGGUUGGUUCCUUCGUACCAGCUUCAUCAGCAAGAUUGCAUGUCGUUGACGGAAUUUAUAUCCGAAUGGGUGCAUCUGACAGUAUUCAACAAGGAACAAGUACCUUCCAUGAAGAGAUGAACGAAGCUUCCAACAUAUUGCAUAACUGCUCAUCUCGAUCCCUAGUUAUCAUUGAUGAGCUUGGACGUGGCACAAGCACACAUGAUGGUGUUGCUAUAGCUUAUGCUACUUUACACCAUCUUCUCAAAGAGAAGAAAUGCAUUGUCAUUUUUGUCACUCAUUAUCCAAAGAUUCUUGAUAUUCGGAGAGAAUUUGAAGGCUCUGUUGGUGCAUAUCAUGUUUCGUAUCUAGCAACAAGGAAGCUGUUGGAAGUUACGGAUAAAGGGGUGGAGACUAGCCCAGAGACAAAGGAUCUUGGAGAAAUUACUUUCUUGUACAAACUUGUUUCUGGAGCUUCAGAUAAAAGCUUUGGUCUUAAUGUUGCUAUGCUUGCACAGCUUCCAUCUAGAUGUAUUGAGCGGGCAUUGGUCAUGGCAGCCAAGCUGCAAGAGUUAAUUGCGCGUGAGGAAAACAGACUUUGGAGGACAAUAGAUGCACCGAACGCGGAUGGGCCAUUGGAAAGAGCUCCAAAAGUUCCUUUGCUUUGUGCACAGCCUUACCAAGGGUUGGCAGAAGCAUGUCACAGGAUACUGUUGAACGUGACAUUGGCUCAAAGCAAUGAUGAUGUAACGAACAUACUAUCUUCUUUGAAGAAUGCACGGGAGAUUGCUCUGAAGAUAAUAGAUGGCUUUCUCACAUGAAGCAUUGGCUCGUCUGACAUUUACUUCCUCCUGUAUAUAAAGUGAACUUAUCAGCCUUCUACCUUUUGCUGUUAACUGAACUUGCCUAUAUGGCAUACAAUGAACUAGGUAGCACCAAUUGGUAUGCCACGUCGUGACAAGUCAUGUAUUGCCACCAUGGUUUGACUGGACAACAUGUCAUUGUCGGCCCAGCACAUCCGGUAUUUUACAGGGAAAAAGAGCAAUCGUGCAAACUGCUGCAAGUUUAGGGCGUUGAAAAGGUGGCGUGUACCUACCCUACACAGGAUCCGUAUUGCCGGGAAAGCAUUUUUUGUUGUAGCCGUUUUUGGAGCCGCUGCUCUUCCUAGGUUAUUGUGUUGACCGUUUUGAUCACAUGUUAAUGGCAGCAGUCACGUAGUUCUGGGUCCUGACCCUUGCUUGCAGCUUAGGGGAUAGAUAUUGAACGAAGGAAUGAACGUCGAACUUAAACUAGCCAUAAGAUUAACCUUUGAGACGUAGUAAGUUGGUACAAUGUAUUUGUAAAUCAGUAUUCGGUUCCUGUAUCCUGAAUAACUCAUGUAGGCUCACUUGUAAUCAUAUGGUUUGGAUACUUUUGAUGGUGUGAAUGCAGAAAAGAGAUGCAUUUCAUUA